rnacentral:rRNA from 1 species
CUUACCAUGCAGUCGAACGAUGAACUCCAGCUUGCUGGGGGGAUUAGUGGCGAACGGGUGAGUAACACGUGAGUAACCUGCCCUUGACUCUGGGAUAAGCGCUGGAAACGGCGUCUAAUACCGGAUACGAGCUUCAGCCGCAUGGCUAGGAGUUGGAAAGAAUUUCGGUCAAGGAUGGACUCGCGGCCUAUCAGCUAGUUGGUGAGGUAAUGGCUCACCAAGGCGACGACGGGUAGCCGGCCUGAGAGGGUGACCGGCCACACUGGGACUGAGACACGGCCCAGACUCCUACGGGAGGCAGCAGUGGGGAAUAUUGCACAAUGGGCGCAAGCCUGAUGCAGCAACGCCGCGUGAGGGACGACGGCCUUCGGGUUGUAAACCUCUUUUAGUAGGGAAGAAGCGAAAGUGACGGUACCUGCMGAAAAAGCACCGGCUAACUACGUGCCARCAGCCGCGGUAAUACKUAGGGUGCAAGCGUUGUCCGGAAUUAUUGGGCGUAAAGAGCUC